rnacentral:rRNA from 1 species
UACGGAGGGUGCAAGCGUUAAUCGGAAUUACUGGGCGUAAAGGGUGCGUAGGCGGCCGUGUAAGUCAGGGGUGAAAGACGGUAGCUCAACUAUCGCAGUGCCUUUGAUACUGCAGGGCUUGAAUGUACUUGAGGUAGGCGGAAUGUGACAAGUAGCGGUGAAAUGCAUAGACAUGUCACAGAACACCAAUUGCGAAGGCAGCUUACUAAAGUAUGAUUGACGCUGAGGCACGAAAGCGUGGGGAUCAAACAGG